rnacentral:rRNA from 1 species
UACGAAGGGGGCUAGCGUUGUUCGGAAUUACUGGGCGUAAAGGGCGCGUAGGCGGAUCGGCAAGUCAGAAGUGAAAUCCCUGGGCUCAACCCAGGAAUUGCUUUUGAGACUGUCGGUCUUGAGUACAGGAGAGGUGAGUGGAAUUCCCAGUGUAGAGGUAAAAUUCGUAGAUAUUGGGAGGAACACCAAUGGCGAAGGCAGCUCGCUGGGACGGUACUGACGCUGAGACGCGAAAGCGUGGGGAGCAAACAGG